rnacentral:lncRNA from 1 species
CCGGCCCAGCCCAGCCCCGGCCCGCUCCCUCAGGGCCGGCCUGGCCCGGGGCCCGUGGGCUUGGGCAGCGGGGAGCGCCGUCCUGCCGCCUAGCCGUGCCCUUGGCGUUGUGGGCCGCCUGUGCCGGCCCCCGGGGGCUUUGAAAGAACCACAGGAGAGGAGAUAAAGGGGGCUUUACUUCACCUCCAAGUCAAAUACUUCUGAGAAAAAGAUCACCCCUGCCAUCUUCCCAUGGCGCAGGAAAAGCAGAGAGAUACUGUUUUGGAGCCUGCAUCUUUUCUGAAGAAAAUGUGGAUUUAAGGCACACGUGCUUGAUUAAGAAGAACUUCCUGCAUUCUGGACUUUUGCUUCAGAGAGGUUGAGGAUUUGAAAGGUACUUUUUGUACCCCAGGAUGAAAACAUGCCAGUAGAGCUAUGCGUAAUACCUGUUUAUAUUCUGCACAGGAAUUUAUUGUGUUUGUAAUAACCAGAUUGACAUCUAUGUUUUCAGUGACUACUUGGAUGAAAUAAAGAAUGAAGUGUUAGUGGCUCA